rnacentral:rRNA from 1 species
AUACGGAGGGUGCAAGCGUUACUCGGAAUCACUGGGCGUAAAGCGCGCGCAGGCGGCUAUUUAAGUUGGAUGUGAAAGCCUACGGCCCAACCGUAGAACUGCAUCCAAAACUAUUUAGCUAGAGUGUGGGAGAGGAAGAUGGAAUUAGUUGUGUAGGGGUAAAAUCCGUAGAGAUAACUAGGAAUACCAAAAGCGAAGGCAAUCUUCUGCAACACUACUGACGCUGAGGCGCGAAAGCGUGGGGAGCAAACAGGAUUAGAAACCCCAGUAGUCC